UACGGAGGGUGCGAGCGUUAAUCGGAAUUACUGGGCGUAAAGCGUGCGUAGGUGGCUGGUUAAGUCAGAUGUGAAAGCCCCGGGCUUAACCUGGGAACGGCAUUUGAAACUGGCGGGCUGGAGUUGAGUAGAGGGGAGUGGAAUUUCAGGUGUAGCGGUGAAAUGCGUAGAUAUCUGAAGGAACACCAGUGGCGAAGGCGGCUCCCUGGACUCAAACUGACGCUGAGGUACGAAAGCGUGGGUAGCAAACAGG
rnacentral:rRNA from 1 species